AUGUGCCGGGUGUGCCUGAAAGACAAGUCCGAUCAUAGCCUUUGCCCUGCUGCAAGAAGGCCGUGUGCGAGGAGUGCCUCAAAGUCUACCUGAGCGCCCAGACUCAGCAUUGACUCCUCAAACAACAACAAUAAUAAAGCAGUGUCUAUACAUCUAUGAAUGUAGAUAAAGCCAAGCAAAGUGACUUGAAAUCAUUUGCCUCAUAUUUAAAUUGACUACUGACAUUGCUCCCAAUUUCCGCAACUCUUUGUAAGGAGUGUUCUCACCAAAAGGCAAAUAGUCUUAAACAAGUUUUUUUCUUUAGAAACAUCUUUGACAGAUGCAAUAUAACAUAAUUUAAUUAACCUACACUUGGUAAACAACUUUUUUGGUGCUUGUCUAAAAUUUAUGACAUUUAAAAACUUUUUGUUGCAGCUUCAUUUUCGUUUUUACAUUUAGGGAAGAAAUUCUGCUGUGGUAGAUAUUCUUUGUUAAAUUUUCUAAUUUUUCUGACCAUUAUUUUUCUAUGAAAGGCAUAUUUUGAUGAGUGCUUAGGCUGGUGAUGUUGACACUUACUAUAUUUUUUUAAUGUAGCUAUGGUGUUACUACCUAACAAACAAAAUCCUUUACUAUCUACUUGAAUAAUAAAGUAAUCCACACUCCACUGUGCUUUCAAAGCAUGGCAUUUGAUGUCCAUUUUAUUUCCUUUUGACUGCAUUGGUAAUAAAAAAAUAACUUUA